AAUAUUAUACGAUCCACUUUAAACGGAAACUGAAACAACAUCACUCGUAUACAAGUAUAAGUAAAAAGAAAAAUAUAUAUGUAUGUAAUAUAAGAGUACUGGAGUGAAAUAUGAUAUUGUUAAACCAAUAUGACGUCCCGAGUACUUUAGAAUAUUGCUCUGUUCCGACUUGCCGCAUAAUGUACCUGUAUAAUAUUUAGGU